AAAAAAAAGAACUUGAAAUUGUUGAUCUCAUUAGAGUUUUUAAAUUAAUCUGACUCAGAAAUAAAGGUUUGCCAUAUGUAACUAACAAAAACGUGUCGGUCCAGCAAACUUCUCUCUAUAGUUGCCCUAACAAGUAUUUAAAACACAGUAUAACAAGGAUUUUUGAGUACACGCAUAUUUUCCCCGACGGAAACUCCGUAGACGACUACGCGCCUGCGCAUUGCUGUCUUCUGCGGGGUUUCCUCAUCCGAGCCCUCACUCUGAGCGGCGCUGAGCGAAUUUGUCGGACAUUUUGUGGACAGAAACAUCGACGUGUGGCCGAAUUUGGAUGCUAAGUUGGGGAUUCUUGGGAUAUUUGUCUACCGUGUUUGCCUAAACAGGGUUAUACCCCAUUGUGGCUGUUAGAAUUAGUUUUCAGGCAGAUGCAAAUAUACUUAAAAGUCUUAUGAGCUUGUUGAAGGCAACUGUGCAGAAAUUGUCGUCCUGGAUCCAGAUGUGCUGACGGAUUACCACCCACUAGAAGCAUACUCAGUUGGUGGAAAGGUGAUGGUGACCGCAAGAACAUUCAUUCUCCAUUAAAGAAACACAAAAUGACUUUGUUACUUAGGGUAGUUGUCUCCUCCAAACAUGCCCGGCGAAUCCAGCUUCCUGAAGUACCAGGAUCUGUGGCCCAACUGAUUGAUGAACUUAAAGAGAAACUUCAACUUGAAGACAUCGGACAUUGUGUCUCACCGAAAGACAGCAGCACUGAGAGGCCUGCCCAUUUUUGUCCGGGAAGACACAACCAAGUUUCUUCUGGAGUGUUUGGACACUGACCAGGAAGAAAGAGUGGUCAGAGGUGUGUCUGUGGGCAUCCUCACCGUCAUUGAAGAUGAUAAUGCCGCCAUAUCACCAAAUGUGCGAGACGUGGCUGUUGUGUUGGAAGGGACCAUUGUACUGCAUGACCUACCAGACCUCUCUACUGCCUUUGCAUACCUCUUUGGCUUACUGUAUGCCAUGAACAUUGAUUAUCCAAAGGAGAUGAGGUAUACUUUUGAAGCAAUUCAGACUAUCUUUUACGAGCUUGGCUCUCGAUGCUCGCAGCGCAUAAGGUCUCUGAAAACAAAGCUUUUGCUGUGAAUUAAUGGGGAAGCCAGACAUGACUUUAACCUAUGUUUCGCCUGUUCCAGUGCAUUGUGGUUAGUGCUCAUGUAAAACUUCACAACAUUCAUUUCAUUUUAAGCAUAUAAGUCACCUUCUGUUCUGAAAUAGAGAAUCACAGAAUUUGUGGUAGUGGAAGUUGCCAGUUCACAAGAGGGGCAUAUCCAGUGUUUCAACUGUUCAAGUUCAUUGCUGUGAUCAGGUAAAACUUCAAUGUAUGUACAUGUUUGCACAUGCAGUCAUUUUAAGCAUGCAAGUCCCAUUUGCCAUUUGCAAAUAUGUUGAAUUGUGAGUUGCCAGUUGACAAGAGGCACUGGAUUUUAAUUUUUUGUUUUGUUUUAUUCUUUAAAAAAUAUACAGUGCCAGUUCACAGGCGCAUAAAAAAAUGUUUGUAGAACUGUUCAGAACCUAUGCUUUACAAGAAGAAUAAAUAAGAUUUCAGCUAA